rnacentral:rRNA from 1 species
UACGUAGGGGGCGAGCGUUGUCCGGAAUUAUUGGGCGUAAAGAGCUCGUAGGCGGUCUGUCGCGUCGGCUGUGAAAACCCGGGGCUCAACCCCGGGCCUGCAGUCGAUACGGGCAGACUAGAGUGUGGUAGGGGAGACUGGAAUUCCUGGUGUAGCGGUGAAAUGCGCAGAUAUCAGGAGGAACACCGGUGGCGAAGGCGGGUCUCUGGGCCAUAACUGACGCUGAGGAGCGAAAGCGUGGGGAGCGAACAGG